rnacentral:lncRNA from 10 species
AAAUAUUAACAGCAACUUAUAUGUACUUCUCCACUUGUUGCUCCAAGAGAUUUACAGAUACUACUUUGAAAACAAGAUGAAAGCCAUGGAAUCUCCCGAGAAAAAUGUACAUCUUACAGACUUUCAGUGAGUUCUGGAAUACCAGGAACCAGAGCCCACACUAAUGAACAGCAGUUUCCUAACCUAAUGCGAGAGAUUUGAGAUUUCUUCUGGCUCCCAUGAUCUUCUAAUUGUCUUCUUAGCAAGACUAAACACAUCUCCAAGAAAUGUGCACUGCCAUGAAUGUCUUCCAGCUAUCUUCUAUGACAGCACUUCCCAGUGUGUUCUGUGGAAUAAUGGUACAGGGUGAUAUUCUAUGAAGAAAAAUACGGAAAGUAAUAUACUCCACAGUCCGUAUAUUAGAUCGGACUAAUAAAAAUAAAUAUGGAAAGUAA